rnacentral:lncRNA from 1 species
UUGGCAGCGGUGCGCAAGCAGUCUACAAGUUCGCUCACCCACCCGUUUUACGCAGGUGAGACUUGCGCGUUGUUGAAAUAGUAGUUACUUGUUCCACUGCUACGCACUGCUGCCAAACUUUGACUGUAUGUGUGCACGUUCUCUGCAAGAAUGGCUGGCAAUGCUAAGGAAAUUAUGAAGGCUCUUGAAGACUUCAAACGGGAAAUGAGAUUGGAGUUGCGUAGUGUGAAGGACAGUGUUAAAUGUUGCAGUGACACGUGUGACGAAACAAAGGCAAUUGUCGCUGACGUGAAGGCACUUCGACAAGAAAUUGGCGAGCUGAUUAAGAAUAAUGAAACCCUGCAAAAUGAAAACAAGCGCUUAACCCGGAUUGCCCAAAGACUAGCUGGGGGGCAAGGACGCUGAUGUCCAAGAAAUUUCUGUUAAAGUCCUCGAGAGAAACACCGAAGCGCCAAGAAGGCACUCGGGACAAGACGAUUUCUUCAUGCCUGUGGUCAUUCUUAAUCGGAAAAGCCAAGCCUGGCUCACGAGACUGUGACUUCAGAGAAAGCUUUGUUUAGAAAGCAAGGUGUUCUCAAGGCGCUGUUUUGUUUGCGAUGGGCGCCAGACUGGUCGGUUGUGUUCCUGCGUGAUCAACUUCUGCAUACGAACUGAUCAAUUUUUUUUCACCAAGGACAGUAAUCGACAUGACAAGGGAAAGAGAACCGGCUAGUGAACCACCUUACGCCAUUUUCUGGUGAGGAACCUUUUUGACAUUAUUCUGCUUGGCUUCGCGCUUCAUGGCGCAGAAGA